rnacentral:rRNA from 1 species
AACGAACGCUGGCGGCAUGCCUAACACAUGCAAGUCGAACGAGACCUUCGGGUCUAGUGGCGCACGGGUGCGUAACGCGUGGGAACCUGCCCUUAGGUUCGGAAUAACUCCCCGAAAGGGGUGCUAAUACCGGGUAAUGUCUUCGGACCAAAGAUUUAUCGCCUUUGGAUGGGCCCGCGUUGGAUUAGCUAGUUGGUAGGGUAAAAGCCUACCAAGGCGACGAUCCAUAGCUGGUUUGAGAGGAUGAUCAGCCACACUGGGACUGAGACACGGCCCAGACUCCUACGGGAGGCAGCAGUGGGGAAUAUUGGACAAUGGGCGAAAGCCUGAUCCAGCAAUGCCGCGUGAGUGAUGAAGGCCUUAGGGUUGUAAAGCUCUUUUACCCGGGAUGAUAAUGACAGUACCGGGAGAAUAAGCUCCGGCUAACUCCGUG